CGAUUUUUGUAGGUGAAUAUUUAGGAAACGAAUGAGCGAAAUAAAGAAAGGUUGAUAAAUAAUUAUCAAUAGUUAGAAGGUGAACUGAUUUUGGUGCUACAUCAAAGAUUGUUAACGUGAAAUAUUCAAUGGGUGGCUGCCAUAUUCUGCUCGAAUGAACGGUCCUCGAAACACUGACAAACAAUGUCACCGCGCGCGCUUUCAUUCAGCUGAGACGACAAGGGUGUUUCCCUUUUCCGGCGCUGCGCUGAAUGUCUGGGACUUUAAUUGAAUAAAUUGAUAUAAUUUUAGCUGAAAAGGCAUACUUACAACAAUACGC